CAACUCCCCAAGGUCACAGCCAUGUUCCCCCAUCCACCCAUUCUAAGAUUAAAGGAUGGAACCAACGCCAAGAAGGAAGCAAGGGAAUAAAGGCAAAAAUAAAAAGAGCAAUGAGCAGAUGCAUAAAAGGAAAGCAAGGACCAACUAGCAGAUGGCUAGGGAGGAGCUCAAAAACCCAACCUACUCAGCUAGAAAUUGCUCUAUUGAAAGGACAGUCGAAGGUUGCUAAUGGGACUUUGGACCUUUCUAGAGGAGCAUUGCCAUCACAGAGAAGAAGGAAGCAAUGUGA
rnacentral:lncRNA from 1 species